CUGUGAUACAAAGCACCACAAGGCAAGGGACUAAGGACAGUCUCUGGCCAAUGUUUAGUAAGGAACUGAAGCCAUCCUCCCAACUGAUGGAAGAAAAUGGAAUCUCAUCAAGAACCACUGUGCUAGGAUAUGAACCUGAUGCUUGGAGGUACAGAACCAUCCAGAGAUCCACACACUAAGGAUGGCAGGGCAGGAAGAUGGAAGAAAUCUGACUCUUGAUGACAUCACGGUGUCACUGAACUUUUAUCCAUUUAUGGCUGAAUGCAUUCCUUACUGAUAUGAUUAGGAAGCCUCUCCAACUCGUGUUCACUUGCUCCAUGGGAAUCCAUCUGCCAUUUUGUCAGCAGCUUUAUGAUGAGUCCUGCAUGAUAAGAAAUUGAUGUCUCCAGUCAACAUCCAGGGAAGACCAGAGGUCUGCCCAUAGCCAUGUGAGAAAGUUGGAAAAUGGAUUUUCUUCCACUUAAGCCUAAGGACUGCAACUUGGCUGACACCUGAUUGCAGCUCAAAGGCAGAUGCUAAGGCAGAGGCACCCAGCUAAGCUACACCUGACUCCCAGACCUUGGAAACUGUGACAUAAUAAAUGUUGUUUUAAGCCGCCCAGUUUUCAGGAUAUACUCAUGCCUCAGUGGAGGUUUGUAUUAUAGAGCAGAAGAUAGAACUUUGACACCAUGAAAUGUUGACUAAAUGCUACUUUAUGAUUCCUACGUUGUGGUAGUAAGAGACUAGCCAAGAGGUGGAAACCAAGAAGUCUGGAGACUUACUACUUACGGUCAGCCUAAAAAGAAAGCAGAGUGGCACACAAAGUAAACCCAUGUCUAUGUUACAUUUUUUACUACAAAGAUAUACAAAAAGAAAUCACAGAAACACAAGGAAGAGCAAAAGACAACAUUAAAGACUGAAGAUAUGGCAUGUAAAUAAGAGGAUGGAUGUGAUUUCAACUUGUUGUAGAAAUGGGAAGAAAGAGAUAGAAAGUGAAUAUGGGUCAUGUUAACAACCUGCCUCAGAGAUUUUGUGAGUUUAACUCCAGAUCAUUACAAUAACAUGAAUGUUGCAAUAAAACAAGUCACACAAGUUUUGGGGUUUUCCAGGGCAUAUAAAAAUUCUGUUUAUAUUAUAUUAUAGUCUAUUA